AUAAAAAAGAAUAGGGUGAGCUCGAUGGAUGUGAAAAAAUAGAAAAACACGAACAGGGUGUAAAGUGAGUGACUUGCCAAAUAGUUAUGACUGCUCUACGUCAGCCAUAUUGGAAUGCCCUUGGUAAAGAGCAAUGAGGAAAAUGAGUCAACGCUGGGUUUUGGUCCCUUUUUAUUCAACCCUUCGGCGACACACACCAAACGCUCUAACUAGCUGCUGCUCUGCCACACACCUGCCAACCUCGUCUGCUUUACACCGCCCACCUCUCCACUCUUAAAGGGGUACACUCAUAAUUACAGAGUCCUCAUUUUACAACGUCGUUGACCUGCGACAUUUCGAUUUUACGACACCCAUGUCUCGUCCGCCAUUUUGUCCCCAACAUGAUAGUGUUUCUCUUUAGCUAAUGCCUAUUGCUUAUUUGUUUGCGCACUGUAUUUUUGCCUUUUUCACGCCAAGAAGAAAAAAUCAUAUUAUUUUUUUUUUUUUUAGCAACACUGGUCCAGCCGAAAGAAAAGCAAUUAUCAUGGAAACAAAGCUUAACAUCAUAAAAAGAGCAGAGAAAGGAGUAACACUAAUGAACAUUGGUAAAGACUUGGGCUUCAUUCGGUUGACAAUGAUGAUCAUUAAGGACAAAGGCCUGUAUUUUAGUGCACGUCAAAGGUUUCGCCCCCGAUGAGCUAUAGAUAAUCUUUUUCAUGAAAAAAAAACAACAAAGCAAACUCUUCGAUCGUUGUUGAGAUGUAAAGAUUACUUACAGUAUGUUAUGGAUCGAGGAUCACAAUCAACUGAGGCUUAAUAUCAGCCUAGUUCUCAUUCAUGGAAAAAGCAUGUCGUAUUUUCCGAACUUUGAAAGAACGACGCUGAGAAGGAAUUUCGCUAGCAAGGCAUAGCUGCACAUGCUUCUUUAGCAAUACCUAAGCAUAGCCUCCCCCUCCUUCACUGUAAGGCCUUCAUGUAAAGGAGUCAAAGGCAAUGUGUUUCAUUUUCUUAAACUGAGCGGAGUUCUUCACUCAUAGCGUUUUCCCAUCUGGACGCCUCAGGUGACGACCGAGCUUCACACUUGGUGUGUGCUUGUUGAAGUGGGAGCUGCUGAUUGGACGAUCCUCAACGGGAGUACGCAGAGAUGGAGAACAGCCGGCGCCGAGGAAU